rnacentral:lncRNA from 1 species
CUGCCCUGCUGCUCCGGCACAGCAGGCACAGCCAGGGCAUCUGCUUUGCCUUCAUGUCCACCAGCAGAUGCUUGGCCAGCAGUUGAAAAUUACCAGCUGCCUCCUGCUUAGCAGCCAUUGGCAGGGAGCAUUCCCACUCCCAGAUAGUUUUCUUUUUCUGAUGUUUGGCCUGCUGUGCCCCAGAGAUGUAAACUGCGAUGGGACUUUGCCUGGGAGAAAGACAUCAGCGUUGUGCAGAGUGGAGCACAGAAAUGUCCUUAUGCAGAUUUCUGACAGGGUCAGAGUGGAAUUUCUAAUUCCUGCAGCAGUGAAAUAAGCAGGGUAAUCUUGCAGAAGGGCAGAGCAUCAGUUCUGCUCAGGUUUGCUGUGUGUUGGGAGCUUCUCCUCGGUCAUCCAUAGAAGAUAUGAAGCAUCCUGCCUUCUCUCCCACUGUGACAAGAGCCGUGCCCCGAGAGCUGUAGAUGGAAAUGUAGUUCAAACCACAGCAUGACCGUCCAUUCGUCUGCUUAUUUGUGAAAGCUGUUGGUGAGGCAGUGGGAGGUGUGGGACUGAGGAUGGAGCAGGGAGAGCCAUGAGAGCAGCAGGAGACAGCGCUGGGAGCAUCAGAUGGGUUCUUCACUGAGAGGAGAGGAAACAUUCACUCCAUGGUCCUCUGGUGUCUGUGACUUUGUUCAGUGUUGCUCUCCUGCAUUAUAGAGUUCUACUCGUCAGUAACUUCCAUCACUGCAGACCCAAACACUUGCAAAGAAC